UACGAAGGGGGCUAACGUUGCUCGGAAUCACUGGGCGUAAAGGGUGCGUAGGCGGGUCUUUAAGUCAGGGGUGAAAUCCUGGAGCUCAACUCCAGAACUGCCUUUGAUACUGAAGAUCUUGAGUCCGGGAGAGGUGAGUGGAACUGCGAGUGUAGAGGUGAAAUUCGUAGAUAUUCGCAAGAACACCAGUGGCGAAGGCGGCUCACUGGCCCGGUACUGACGCUGAGGUGCGAAAGCGUGGGGAGCAAAGCAGG
rnacentral:rRNA from 1 species